GGGGUGGUGGCGCAGUUGGCUAGCGCGUAGGUCAAACAAUCCUGAGGUCGAGAGUUCGAGCCUCUCUCACCCCA
rnacentral:tRNA from 1 species